CAGGGAGGUUUUUGACAUGCCCAGCGAACAAGUUAUUUGUCCCCUACCUCUAGCUGUUUCUGAAAUGUUUGCAAUCUCUAAUGGUGGAGAAGAAAGAGUAGAGACACUCCAGGAGAUCAACGCAGGAAAGUAAUCACCAACUGUGAGUGAUCUGUUGCCGAGGGGACACUACACCGGAGUUACAUAAGCAGAGGUGGAAGUGUUAGGCUAAAUCGCCUUGGUUUGACCUUCGCAAAUCGGUCGACGACCUCCCCC